CUUUUCUUCAAAAAACUAGUAAUAAUCUCGGACGGACGCAAUUGUCAAUACUCUGUCAUCAAUGCGACGGACACCAUCUCCAUCCUGAGUUUUCAUAUUCUGGAGUUUGCUCUCUUUGAACAUCUCAGUCAAGGGUUCAAUUGCUUAAACCACAGUAAGCAAACAACACUAAUUAGCUGGUACUGAAGAAAGCUCUCACUAGAGUAAAGCUUCAGAUACAGCUGAUUUUUAAUUGCUCAGGACCCCCGGAGGCUGGUUGGGUAGCCAAAGGAUUUGACAAUGAAUCUGCUUACUCUAUUAUGUUUGGCCUUGAUAAAUGUCGAGUUACAAACAAGGUCCAUUUCGUUUUGAAGCGUAAAAACCCCAAGACCGGAAAGUUUGUUGAGCAUCAUUCACAUUGCUGCUGAGUAAUUAAUAUUUGAAUAGAUAUUUGGACUACUGGAAAAGCGGCAUGCAGGCUUCGGACAUCUCUGUGCUUGCAGUUUAAGCCUCACCACAUUGCAGCAGGUGCCAUUCUUCCUUGCUGCUAAAUUUCUCAAAGUAAAGCUCCCACAUGAUGCUGAGACAAGUUGGUGGCUAGAGUUUGAUGUCCAUCCACUCCAGUUGGAAGGGGUUAGUAAUCAAAUGUUGGAACUUUAUGGCCACAUUCUCAGACUAGUGAAGUUGAAGGCAGUGCUGUUAGUGUACCCACACACCAAGAGCCCCAACUGAAAGUGCGUCUUGUAAUAAACAGUAAUUCUCAAGGUAGGGGCGCUGCUUCAAAACCUGGACUUGUCAAGUCAGGGUCAUCUCAUCCAGUCCAUGAGUAUAUGACAGGACUUUUGAUGAUACAGGCAGGUCAUAUCAGUCAUCAAACAUUCACAAAACAAAGGCCGGAAGCCCGCUUGACAGAUCUGUGGUGGGAAAGAUCCACGAGUAUAUGACAUCUGUAUCCAAUUAACAUGAUCAUGAAAACUUUCAAGAAGAUAGAUGUGGCUGGUGAAGCUUUCAAAAAAGGAUCGGAAAAAAUAUGUUCAGGAAAAUUAUGAUUAAUGUGCUUGCUGGAUGAAGAUUGCUUCCCUAUGUAUGUUACAAAGAAUGAGAAGUAUUGAUGUGCAGCAUAUGAUAUGCAUGUAUAAAGAUUGAACACACAAGGUUUUAUUUCAGGUGUAUUCUCUUGCAAAUUUAAUAAGAGACAUUGAGAACUUAGGAGCUGGUUAUUUAUAAAGUCUUCAGGAUUUUUUGCCACAGUCGCGUAAUUGGGCACAAGUCCUCAAGGAAGAUGAUUCCGUGGAGUGAUUUACUUAAUAAUAUGGUGUCUGUUUUGACUAUA